rnacentral:rRNA from 1 species
CCUACGGGUGGCAGCAGUGAGGAAUAUUGGUCAAUGGGCGCGAGCCUGAACCAGCCAAGUAGCGUGAAGGAUGACUGCCCUACGGGUUGUAAACUUCGUUUAUAAAGGAAUAAAGUGAGGCACGUGUGCCUUUUUGUAUGUACUUUAUUAAUAAGGAUCGGCUAACUCCGUUCCAGCAGCCGCGGUAAUACGGAGGAUCCGAGCGUUAUCCGGAUUUGUUGGGUUGAAAGGGAGCGGAGAUGGGUUGUUAAGUCAGGUGUGAAAGUUUGCGGGUCAACCGUAAAAUAGCAAUUGAUACUGGCAGCCUUGAGUACAGUUGAGGUACGCGGAAUUCGUGGUGUAGCGGUGAAAUGCUUAGAUAUAACGAAGAACUCCGAUUGCGAAGGCAGCCUACUAACCUGCCACUGACAUUGAUGCUCGAAAGUGUGGGUAUCAAACAGGAUUAGAUACCCUGGUAGUC